AAAAAUCAAAAAGGCCCGGUCCCGUUUGGGCCAUAUGCUCUCGGAAAGCCCAAGCUCAAUGUGUUACUCUUGGACUGACAGCCCGGAAGAAGAAAAAAAAAAAGUCGUCGUUCGCCGCCCCCUUCCCCUCCCCGCGGCGAGCGGAGCCAUGUCCGCCGCGGGAUCCACCUCGUCGCCCGAGCCUUCGGAAGCCGUCCGCGGAAGCCUCAUCCCAGUCCUCCCCGACGACCUGGCCGUCCACUGCAUCGCGCGCCUCCCGCGCGCCGCGCACCCUGCGCUUGCCCUCGUCUCCCGCGCGCUGCACGCCCUCCUCUGCCGCCACCCGGAGCCGCUCCUGGCCGCCCGGAAACGGCUCGGCCUCUCUGACCCGCACGUCCUCGUCUCCCUCCGCCCGCCUUCCUCCGCGUCGCCUCUCUUCUUCCUCCUGCUCCCGCAGCCCGGGUGGCCCCCUCUGCCGCUCCCCACCCCGCCGGUCCCCGUCUCCUCCUCCUCGGCCGCCGCCGCCGCCGGGAGCCGGCUCUUCCUCGUCGGGGGCUCCGUGGACGGCGUGCCCGCUCCGUCGGUGCAGGUGCUGGACGCCCGCACCAGAUCCUGGUCCGUCGGCCCGCGCCUCUCCUCCCCGCGGGAGUUCGCCGCCGCCGUCGCGCUCCCCGGCGCGCUGUUCGUCGCCGGGGGCUGUGUCCCGUCGUCCCCCUUCUGGGCCGAGUCCCUCGAUCUCGCUUCCCCACGCGCGAAAUGGGCCCCGGUCCCCAGCCCGGACCACCUCCGGGAGAAGUGGAUACACGGCUGCGUGUCGCUCGCCGGGAAGGUGCUUGCGGUGGCCGACCGCGGCGGCUUGGCGUACGACCCGGCCGCGCCGCCUGCCGAGGCCUGGGCGCCGGUCUCUCCGGUGCUUGACAUGGGGUGGAAGGGCCGUGCUGCCGUCGUCGGUGGGAUCCUCUACUCCUACGAUUACAUGGGGCAGGUCAAGGGCUAUGACCCGGACACGGACGCCUGGAGCAUGGUGCAAGGGCUCGACAAGGAGUUGCCGAGGUUCCUGUGUGGCGCCACUCUUGCCAACGUUGGCGGACUGCUCUACCUCAUCUGGGAAGUGAAGUGGAAAGGGAAAGCUAGCGCUAGCGAUGGCGAAGUGAGGGGCAUGGUGGCGGUCGAAUGGGCUACCAUUGAGGUGACGAGCGCCAAAGAGGGGCGGUUAAUGGGGAAGGUAAUGUGCAGGGAUACUGUUGUGUUCGCAGACAUGCCAAGGGGGUCAGCAAUCACACAUUGUGUUGCAUUGGAUCUAUGACAUGGUUCCUGCAGUCAAAAGGGUUAUUGUGCUCCGGGAGUUGAAAAGCUCAGUAAUGUGUGCAGUGCCGCCUGACGUCUUUUUACAAGUAUCGCAAAUAGAAAAUGAGCAGUUUGCUUGGUCAUAACUCAUAGCUGUUUUGUUGAUAAAGUGAAUUGCAUCGAUAAUGCGUGCGAUGAGUGCCUUAUUUCAGGGAAGCAGAGCAAUGAUAAACUUGGCUAGAUGACACUUGAUUCAGGAAUUUGUGGAACAUGUACUGUGCACGGGGAGCUCCCCAUUGGGAUUCAAUGGUCCUUCAACUCGGUGCGUGUUGAUUAUUUGGAACUGAAAGUGAAUCGAUGUUGGCGGAAAUGGUGAGGAAACCUUGGCUCCUUGUAAUGCUUAAAUGUUGUCAUUUUACAGAGGAGUGGCAUAUAGUCAAGCCGAACAUAAACUUGACACUUCGACAAUGGAAGUCGUCUACAGUCUACAAUUGGGAUGACGUUAUGCCAAAAGAAAAAUGAGGGAUGAAGAUCUGUCACUCUGCAGUCCUGUGAUUAAUUGCUGCAGAGCAAGCAUGGUCCGGGAGCCAAUCGCCGUGCAUACUCUUCCUUUGAUCACCUGUGGUCGUGGUGGAUGGGCUUGGCUGCCGGCUUCAGCAUGGAGGACACCGGCGGCUUGGCGGCGAGGGAGAUUGCGGCCUGGAAGGCCUCACGGGAGGCUGUCCGGAGCAACCCCAAGACGACCCUGUUUGCCGCCGGCAUCUCUUGGCAGAAGGCGCACGACAGGAAACAAUGCACGGACGAAGGCUGCAUGCAUACCCUGGGGAGUAUGGCUUAUAAAGGAGAGGAUCCCCCAAAGCCUAAAUUUGGGGGGAGACCGCCGGUUACGGACGAAGGGCUGGUCUUAUUCUGGCUGUUAUAAAUUGACAGCGGCGUGCGCAUUUUCAGAGCACCGGUCAAAAGCGCGCGUGAUUGGAUUUCAGUUUUGGCCGCCCUUUGCUUUCUUCGGAAGAGUUUAUGUGAAGAGAGACAUUGUUCAGGGCUACCAGGCUAAGGUAACAUUCAUCUAAAAAAAAGAGGCCAUUGGUAAAAUUGGAGUGCUAUUGCAAAAAAUGGAAGCAUGUUUUACAAUCCAGAAUGACCGUAGCAGCUCAUGCAGAAAGACGUGCGCUGUAAAAGACCUUUAUAUCGAAGGUUUUGUAAAAGCUUUUGAGGAGUAUAAUUCCUACAAAACAUCAUAUGUGUAGACUGUUUAAUCUGUAGGAUUUCAUUGUAUAAGAAAAUCUUGUCGCAUUAUUCUCUCUGAAACUUCUGCAAAGCUCUCAUAGAGCAUUCGAAUAGCUGGUCA